rnacentral:rRNA from 1 species
CUCAUUAAAUCAGUUAUAGUUUAUUUGAUGGUCUCUUUGUUCUUCUUUUUACCUACUUGGAUAACCGUGGUAAUUCUAGAGCUAAUACAUGCGCAAGGUCCCGAGCGCGGAGGGUAGGGCUUCACGGCUCUAUUCUUGCAUGCGUAGAGGGAUGUAUUUAUUAGGUUAAACAACCAGCAUUUUUUCAUUUCUGGUGAUUCAUAGUAACUCUUUCGGAUCGCAUUCAUG